rnacentral:lncRNA from 1 species
ACUGCUGGUGCCCGGGGAGGGAUUCUGCACUUCUCCCCGUUUCACAGAUGAGAACAGUUGAGCAGAGGUCAGCAGCAGAGUCAGAACUCUUCUCCCAUCACCACAGUGGUCCUCAAGCUGGAGCCAGACAUCCAUCUACUCAGUGCCAUGUUGAGCCAACAACUGAGCCUGAGGACUAACUUCCCAAGUCUCAGUCCCUUCCUCACCUGUCGGGACACCUGUUCCCUGACUUGUCAUACCUGCGAGAUGUCACAGCUACUUUCCUUCCUCAUUUCCUCCACAGCCCACAAGAACACACAGCCAGGACCACUAGCUUCUCCACUU